GCGGAAAUGGCGGAACUGGCAGACGCGCAUGAUUCAGGUUCAUGUGAACGAUAGUUCUUGAGGGUUCAAGUCCCUUUUUCCGCACCA
rnacentral:tRNA from 1 species